rnacentral:rRNA from 1 species
CAGCAGCCACGGUAAUACGUAGGGUGCGAGCGUUAAUCGGAUUUACUGGGCGUAAAGCGUGCGCAGGCGGCCCGUUAAGACAGGUGUGAAAUCCCUGGGCUCAACCUAGGAAUUGCGCUUGUGACUGGCGGGCUCGAGUACGGUAGAGGGGGGUGGAAUUCCUGGUGUAGCAGUGAAAUGCGUAGAGAUCAGGAGGAACACCGAUGGCGAAGGCAGCCCCCUGGGCCUGUACUGACGCUCAUGCACGAAAGCGUGGGGAGCAAACAGGAUUAGAUACCCCGGUAGUCCCUGUCUCUUAUAC